AUUGAACGCUGGCGGCAUGCCUUACACAUGCAAGUCGAACGGCAGCACGGGCUUCGGUCUGGUGGCGAGUGGCGAACGGGUGAGUAAUGUAUCGGAACGUACCCUUCAGUGGGGGAUAACUAUCCGAAAGGGUAGCUAAUACCGCAUAUUCUCUGAGGAGGAAAGCGGGGGAUCGCAAGACCUCGCGCUGAUGGAGCGGCCGAUAUCAGAUUAGCUAGUUGGUGGGGUAAAGGCCUACCAAGGCGACGAUCUGUAGCGGGUCUGAGAGGAUGAUCCGCCACACUGGGACUGAGACACGGCCCAGACUCCUACGGGAGGCAGCAGUGGGGAAUUUUGGACAAUGGGGGCAACCCUGAUCCAGCCAUGCCGCGUGAGUGAAGAAGGCCUUCGGGUUGUAAAGCUCUUUCGGCCGGGAAGAAAUCGCGUGAGUUAAUACCUUGCGUGGAUGACGGUACCGGAAUAAGAAGCACCGGCUAACUACGUGCCAGCCGCCGCCGUAACAC
rnacentral:rRNA from 1 species